rnacentral:rRNA from 1 species
GACGAACGCUGGCGGCGUGCUUAACACAUGCAAGUCGAACGGACAGGCCCUGCUUUUGUGGGGUGCUCGAGGGGCGAACGCGUGUGUGAAACGUGAGUAACCUGCCCUUGACUUUGGGAUAACUUCAUGAAACUGGGGCCACUACUGGAGAUGAGCUCUUGCUACGUGGUGUGGUUUGGAGAUUCUCGGCGGUUGUGGAGGGACUGGCGGCUUUUCAGCUUGUUGGUGGUGGUGUGGCUUACAAAGGCUUUGACGGGUCGCCGGCCUGAGAGCUGGACCAGCCACAUUGGGACUAAGAGACGGCCCAGACUCCUACGUGGCGCAACAGUGGGGAAUAUUACACAUUGGGCGCGAGCCUGAGGCAGCAACGUCGCGUGCGGGAUAAUGACCUUCGAGGUAUAAACAGCUUUCGCCUGAACCGAAGCGUGAGUGACGGUAAUGGGUAGGGAAGCACCGGCUAACUACGUG